GGUAGGUACAGCCGGAGCGGCAGGAAGAGGAGGGGCCGGCGGGCAGGGCCGCCCUCCCGCCGGGCGGUGCGGCCGGGACAGGGCGGGAGCGGCCUCGCGGGCCUACCAAGGAAACGGAGUGGCAGCGCCUUGGCACAGUUUGGAAACGAUGAGCUACCUCUAACUAGAGCAAAUGACAGCAUAAUGGAACAGGCAGCGGGCUGCCAAAAGUCUUUGUUAACUGGCAUUUUGUUUCCAGAAGUAACUCCAAGCCGGUACCAAGGAAACAAGUGAGAACUCCCCAAGUUUGUGUAUAAUAUUUUCCGUAUUUCUCUCCCAGCUUCCAACCAGCUGACUUCCUCAGCUGAAUGCUUUGGGGUUGUUCCCUUCCUGUUUGGUUUUUUUUUUUUUUUAAUUCUCCCUCAGUAGAUUCCUCUACCAUUCAUUUCCUCAGCCUCUGUGAACCCACAUCAGCCCCAGCCUUUAGCAAGGACUGCCGUAGGCCCACUGGGGUUUUUAGGAAGCAUCCUCUUGGCACAGCUUGAAGUUGAGUAGCUCCCUGCUGUGACCACUCUUGCUCCCCUGUGAGAAAAGGGAGCGAUCCAUCAGCUCCAGUGCCUGCUGCCUGCCCUGUUCCUGGCUGUCCUUCUCUGUUCCAGCCUGUUCAGAGUGUAGCCUUCUUGGGUCUCCCCGACCACUGUGUUCCUUGCCUUCUAAAGCGUCCUGUUGGCCUCUGGGAGGAAGGUAAUACUGAGCAAUCGCAGCCUCUCUCGCCUGGGCACUGCAGGGGACGGGUCUGCCUGCAGCGAGCUGCCUCGCAGAAGCCCUUGUGUUGUUUCCUCUUUUCUCUGCCAGGGACAGGUUUGAUAGUUUAUUUUUUUUUUCCCUCAUAUGUAAUGUGAUCGUUUAAAAUCGUUGCUGUUACAUAACAACAGAUCGUGGUCUACAUCUUGCUUUAUUUUAGGGAGUAUCAGGUAUAAAGCCCUACCAGUGACAAAUGUUUCCUUUAUUUUUUUUUCCUUAAUAUGCACUUUCCACAAUAUUUUUCACUUAACAGUCUUAACUUCUUGAUCGAAUUAGCAACCUAUUUUAUGGGCAUGCUAAUUUGAGACUAACCACGAUUAAACUGAAGAUACCAUCCAACAACCUUUGUAAAUGUUUGCUUUAGAAACUUCUCAAGCCAAUUAUUUCAGUUUCCAUAGUGAGCUGGUUUUGAUGUCCUUGCCGUUCAACACACAUCCUGUUAAGAGCUGUCAUUAACUCUGUUGUCUUCUUUGUUCUGAACGGUGCCAAGCACUUUUGACAGAGUCCAAAUCAAUACUAAGUAACAAUGGAUGUUUGUUAGCCUUAAUUCCAGGUUUAGCUCUCCUGGAUGAAGCUGCCAACAGAUCAGAGGAAUGCAGGAGCUUUUCCUUUCCCUGGUGGUUUCACAAGGCUGUGCUGAUAGUCUGUGUGCUGUCCAGACCGGCUUUUAGCAUUUAGUCCAGAAACCUCUAUAUCCUGCUAUAAAACAUUCUUUUCUAAGGGCAGGAAAUUAUUAAAUGCCUGGAAUAAACAGUUAACUUCA